AUUGAACGCUGGCGGCGGGCUUAACACAUGCAAGUCGAGCGAGCGGCGGACGGGUGAGAAAUGUCUGGGAACCUGCCUGCUGGAGGGGGAUAGCUAUUGGAACCGGUAGCUAAUACCGCAUACCAUCAGAUGUGCCCCUCGGGGACUAGCUGGUAGGUGGGGUGAUGGCUCACCUGGGCGACGAUCCCUAGCUGGUCGGAGAGGAUGACCAGCCACACUGGCACAGAGACACGGAGCAAACGCCUAGGGGAGGCAGCAGUGGGGAAUAUGGCACAAUGGGCGAAAGCCCGAUGCAGCCAUGCCGCGUGUGUGAAGAAGGCAUGCGGGUUGUAGAGCACUUUCAGCGAGGAGGGGUUAGGCGCAGAAGAAGCACCGGCUAACUACGUGCCAGCAGCCGCGGUAAUUC
rnacentral:rRNA from 1 species